rnacentral:misc_RNA from 1 species
CCUCCAAGCAACAGAACUUUUCAAGGCAUGGCCGAGCAUCCUUAAAAUCGAGAACAACAAGAGCAAGUGCAGCAGUAAUUGCAGUCCAUGACAUAUUCAGACCCAUGAGCAAAGAAAUCAGCAUACCUAUGGUAACAAGGUACACACAUGAUUUCCAUAAUAUCCUUUUCCAUUUUGCAACAAAGUAUUCUUUUUCUCCCGGCAAUUGCUCAUCAAACACAUCUCUCAACCUAUCCAUUGAUGCAAUCCUCUUUGAAGGAACAGUAUCCUCCUUUCUCUGAGAAGACCCAUCAACUGUUAUAUCUUUGGAUGCAUUGGAAUUCCUUGCAGACUCAUAUGCACUCGUAGAUGCACUACAGAUUUCAUUCUCAGUUGCAACUAUU